AUACGUAGGUGACAAGCGUUAUCCGGAUUUACUGGGCGUAAAGGGCGUGUAGGCGGUCUUGCAAGUCAGAAGUGAAAUUCCUGAGCUCAACUCGGGCGCUGCUUCUGAAACUGCAGGACUUGAGUGCUGGAGGGGAUAGCGGAAUUCCUAGUGGAGCGGUAAAAUGCGCAGAUAUUAGGAAGAACACCGGUGGCGAAGGCGGAUAGCUGGAAAGUAACUGACGCAGAGGCGCGAGAGCGGGGGGAGCAAACAGGAGUAGAUACCCGGGUGGUCCACGCCGUAAACGAUGAAUACUAGGUGUAGGGGGUAUCGACGCCCUCUGUGACGCAGUUAACACAAUAAGUAUUCCGCCUGGGGAGUACGGCCGCAAGGUUGAAACUCAAAUGAAUUGACGGGG
rnacentral:rRNA from 1 species